UGCGUAGGCGUCCAGGAAAGUUAUUUGUUAAAUCCUCCGGCUUAACCGGAGAUCUGCAAGUAAAACUAACUGGAUAGAGUUUAAGAGAGGAAAAUGGAAUUCCUGGUGUAGCGGUGACAUGCGUAGAUAUCAGGAGGAACAUCAAUGGCGAAGGCAGUUUUCUGGCUUAAAACUGACGCUGAGGCACGAAAGCAUGGGGAGCAAACAGGAUUAGAUACCCUGGUAGUCC
rnacentral:rRNA from 1 species